AUGAUGAACACUAGCUACAGGCUUAACACAUGCAAGUCGAGGGGCAGCAUGGUCUUAGCUUGCUAAGGCCGAUGGCGACCGGCGCACGGGUGAGUAACACGUAUCCAACCUGCCGUCUACUCUUGGACAGCCUUCUGAAAGGAAGAUUAAUACAAGAUGGCAUCAUGAGUCCGCAUGUUCACAUGAUUAAAGGUAUUCCGGUAGACGAUGGGGAUGCGUUCCAUUAGAUAGUAGGCGGGGUAACGGCCCACCUAGUCUUCGAUGGAUAGGGGUUCUGAGAGGAAGGUCCCCCACAUUGGAACUGAGACACGGUCCAAACUCCUACGGGAGGCAGCAGUGAGGAAUAUUGGUCAAUGGGCGAGAGCCUGAACCAGCCAAGUAGCGUGAAGGAUGACUGCCCUAUGGGUUGUAAACUUCUUUUAUAAAGGAAUAAAGUCGGGUAUGGAUACCCGUUUGCAUGUACUUUAUGAAUAAGGAUCGGCUAACUCCGUGCCAGCAGCCGCGGUAAUACGGAGGAUCCGAGCGUUAUCCGGAUUUAUUGGGUUUAAAGGGAGCGUAGAUGGAUGUUUAAGUCAGUUGUGAAAGUUUGCGGCUCAACCGUAAAAUUGCAGUUGAUACUGGAUAUCUUGAGUGCAGUUGAGGCAGGCGGAAUUCGUGGUGUAGCGGUGAAAUGCUUAGAUAUCACGAAGAACUCCGAUUGCGAAGGCAGCCUGCUAAGCUGCAACUGACAUUGAGGCUCGAAAGUGUGGGUAUCAAACAGGAUUAGAUACCCUGGUAGUCCACACGGUAAACGAUGAAUACUCGCUGUUUGCGAUAUACUGCAAGCGGCCAAGCGAAAGCGUUAAGUAUUCCACCUGGGGAGUACGCCGGCAACGGUGAAACUCAAAGGAAUUGACGGGGGCCCGCACAAGCGGAGGAACAUGUGGUUUAAUUCGAUGAUACGCGAGGAACCUUACCCGGGCUUAAAUUGCAGAUGAAUUACGGUGAAAGCCGUAAGCCGCAAGGCAUCUGUGAAGGUGCUGCAUGGUUGUCGUCAGCUCGUGCCGUGAGGUGUCGGCUUAAGUGCCAUAACGAGCGCAACCCUUGUUGUCAGUUACUAACAGGUUCUGCUGAGGACUCUGACAAGACUGCCAUCGUAAGAUGUGAGGAAGGUGGGGAUGACGUCAAAUCAGCACGGCCCUUACGUCCGGGGCUACACACGUGUUACAAUGGGGGGUACAGAGGGCCGCUACCACGCGAGUGGAUGCCAAUCCCCAAAACCUCUCUCAGUUCGGACUGGAGUCUGCAACCCGACUCCACGAAGCUGGAUUCGCUAGUAAUCGCGCAUCAGCCACGGCGCGGUGAAUACGUUCCCGGGCCUUGUACACACCGCCCGUCAAGCCAUGGGAGCCGGGGGUACCUGAAGUGCGUAACCGCGAGGAGCGCCCUAGGGUAAAACU
rnacentral:rRNA from 1 species